GUAAGGUUCAACUGAAUAAACAUCUAAUAAGAAUAAUAUCUGAAGACGGUAUAACAAUACCAAAACAAAACUGUAAUAACUUUCUGACAUGCUGUAGUCUGAAAGCCUCUAAACUGUCUGAAUAAGAAUUUGAAGGAACAUAUCUCCAACUAAAUCCAUCUAACAACUGAAUAGUAAAUGUAGCAAUAAUCAUAUUGUCCUCGAAUGAGGACUCACUGCAAACUCUGAACACUGAAAUGUUACUGCUGAUCUGGAGCUCGUGCCUCUAAACCUAUGGUGUAACAUAAGAGAAAGCACCAUAGCGUAAAUGCGUCAGUACGUCUGAAUGUACUGAGUAUACGAGUAAGGUAGGCUAAACGCAAAGGGUUAUAUGCAUGAACAAUGCUACUAAUAUGGACAUGAGAAUACAUACAUGCAUACAUAACUGUAACUGAACUUGUGGAGAUACUGACUACUGAGUCUGAAUACUGACAAUAUGAGUGUACUGAUACUGAGAUACUGAAUAGAUGAACGACUAUUUCUGACAGUUCGAAUUAUGAAGAACUAGUCUGGUUGACUGUGUCUGACAGUCUUGAAACUGAAUACUGAUAUCAUGAAUUCUGAUAACUGAUAUGACUGAUACAUGAGAACAGAAAAUUGUUAUAACUGAUAUAACUGUGAUGAUCAGCCUAACCGAUAUAACUCAUACUGAGCGACUGUAUCUGACAGUCUAAGUUCUGAUGGAACUAUCUGAGUUCCGUUCUACUUGGAGUAACUAAAUCUGAGAUCAGUCCUAUCUAGCGGGUGAUCAUGAAUAUACUGAUAAUAAGAAUGAUUUGACUUAGUCUGAGAUCAGUCCUAUCUAGUGGGUGAUCUUUAAGGCUAUUUACAAUGAUAAGCAUUGACUGUAUCUAACAAUACUGAAUCUGUACUACUGAAACUGUGGGAUGUGUUCAUCUAACUGACAUGCCCCAAGCUAAGCUGACUGGGGUCCAAUCUCUGCCCUGACUGGAAGGGUGUCAGUACCGCGCCACCAGUAAAGACAUCUGUUGUGGAGUCAGUACUAAUAUAGCGGGUGACUCUUGGGAUCAGUCCUAUACAUAUAAAUGUGCUAACGGGUGACCCCUGAGUAUGUAGUCCUAUCUAACGGGUGACAUCUCGUACCUACGCUAGCUACAUAGUUCUGGAACUUAAGGAUUGCUUCUAAGAAUCUCAGUCCUAAUCUAGCGGGUGAGUCCCCAUCCCUAGGCUCACUCGGUACUGAAUCCUACUCCCAUCUGAAAGACACUGAACUGAAUAACUGGGCUGAACCAAAUAACUUAACUGAACUAAUUUGCUGAACUGAUACUGAUUAAUUGAACUGAAAAUAGUGGUAUUGUUUUGCGGAGCUAAAACAGAGUUUACUGGAUUCCGAUGACUGAUGGAAUGUACUGAGUUCUAAGGACUAGUUGAGAGUACUGAAAUUAUUGAGAUUGACUUUGAAUACUAAGGUUACAGAUAUUACUGAGUACUGAGAUCACUGAGAUUACUGAACUACUAAGAUUACUGAGAUUUCUGAGUUUUCCUAAGUCACAUGACUGACUGAAUUCUAUAAAUCAUGGCUUAACUGAAAGUAUCGUGAUAACAUGACAUGGCUCUAGGCACACAGCCAUAGUUUUCGGGUACGAAUACCUCCAGGACUCGAUGGAAUGAAACUGACUCACACAUGACACGACUUGAUCACAAGAUCGGAGUCCACAAUUCACAAUAUCAUAAGUAGGGGAUAUUAUACUUCAUGCAUUUAUUCAACAUCUCAAACAUGGUAGGGAAAAGCAUGGAUAUAUUUCAUGUACAUAAUUCAUACCUCCAUUAUCAUACAUACUCCAUACCACAACAAUAACAACACAUAAAUAGCAUGGAAAUCCAUAUUGAAGUGUAUAGCUAACACAGACUUGUCAUUUAGAUAUCAUUGAAUCAUGUAAAUAUUAAUUUCUAGCAUCCUAGGCAUUUUAUCAAACACGUUGCAUGCAUUCUUUAAGGCAUAGGUGGAUUUCAUCAAAUUAUACAUCAUGAACAAUCAAAUUUACAUAUUUCCAACUCAUAUGAUAUCAUGGAAUUCAAAAAAACAUAUAAAGAUUCCAUCUUGGGAAUCUCCUAAUAUCAACAACAUGAUCAUUAACACCCAACAAUAUAGAAAUUAUACUUUAAUGAAAAACAAGGUUUUUGAGCUUUAUGGAUGAAAAGGAUCCAUAAAUCAACUUAUGCAUACCUUAGAAGGAAGAUUCUUGAUGAUUGACGGAGGAAAAGGUUCUUGAAGAAUUACUUAGGCUUGCCUUGAUUUUUCUUGACUAGGGUUUAACCCCUUUGGGAAAGAAUGCUCUCUUGUUCCUGAGGAGAUGAUCUUGAGAUAAAACCCUAAUCUUGUGGUUGAGAGUGUAAGAGAGGUUUUUAAGAUGCUUAACUGAAAAAAAUGAGAAAAAUUACGCCUCUUUAAGGUUAUAAAUCGUAGAAGGUGAAAGAAAAGACCAAAAUACCCUUAUGAAAUAAAUUCCCGGUUGUUGAAAAUCAUAGCUGACGACAUUUGUGACAAGGCGUCAAAAGUGUGGUAAGCCGUCAAAAAUGUCGUCACACAGGAGCUGGAACUGAUGGUUUCUGCCUAAGUCUGACGACCUUCGUGGUAGGGCGUCACAACCACGAAUGUCGUCACACAGGAGCUGGUUUCUGCCUAAGGCUAACGACCUUCGUGGUAGGGCGUCACAAAUGUGGUAAGCUACCACGAAUGUCAUCAUAUAGGAGCUGGAUUCUGCCUAAGGCUAACGACCUUCAUGAUAGGGCGUCAUAAAUGUGGUAAGCUACCACGAAUGUCGUCACACAGUUUCCAGCCUGACAUGGUGGAGUAAAAUAGGAAUAACUCUUUGCUCCGAUAUCGAAUUUAGACGAAAUUGAUAUCGUUGGAAAGAUAAUUCAAUUAUCUAUCUGUUGAUAGGUCAUAAGCUCAAAAAUUCCAAGUGUAAUGAGAGAUAUGUUCGUUUGAAGUUGACUAUACCAAUAUCCUUCUCAAGAAUUCAAUCGGUAAGAAAUGUUUUGACUCAUCUGAUAGCUGGGAGUUAUUUGAAGCCUUAAUAUACAUCUAACUUACUCAUAAAACUAUAAAAGAACAACGAUGUACUACGCAUGAGCUUGAUACAUGGCUAUAAUAUUGGUUUGGAUUUUUCAGGGUAUUACGCAUACACUCACAUACCAAAGACACCUAUAUACACAGCCCUACGAUUACUAACCCGAGUACACAAGAUCUCUCUUGACUGCUUGCUACGACCCACACACUCACACUAACUAGCCUUCUACCCUUAUCCACGCCCUCCACACCUUCCUAUCUAGGGUCAUGUCCUAAAUAAGCUGAAGUUGUUUCAUGUCAUGUCUAAUCACUUCCCUCCAAUAUUUCUUCGACCUACCUCUACCCCUCCUAAAGCCAUCCAAAGCUAGCUUCUCACACCUACGAACUAGGACAUCUGCGCCCCUCCUCAUCACAUGCCCAAACCAUCUCAGCCUUCCCACAUCUUGUCCUUCACCGGAGCCACUCCUACCUUCUCUUGGAUAAUCUCAAUCCUAACUCUGUCCCUCUAGUAAGCCCACACAUCCAAUGCAACAUUCUCAUUUCCGCCACCUUCAAUUUUUGGAUGUAGAAGUGCUUGACUGGCCAACACUCCACUCCAUACAACAUGACCGGACGGACUGUCACUCUAUAGAAUUUGCCUUUAAGCUUAAGGGGCACCUUCUUAUCACACAACACUUCCGAGGCGAGCCUUCACUUCAUCCAACCUGCUCCAAUACAUUUAGAAACAUCCUCAUCAAUCUCACCAACAAUAAUAACAAAAACAUAUUCAGUAGAUUCCCACUUAGUGAGGUGCUAAACAAAGGAGCAAAAUGCAGAAAAAUGAAAACUCUAAGGGAUAAGAGCAAGCUUGCAGUUGCAAUGCUGAAUGAUAACAUUGGCCAACAACUGGACUCAUCUAUAGUUAAUCAAACGAUUUUCAAAUAGAUAAUUGACAACCAAGUCACUAUACUUAAAUAUUUUCAAGUAACUAAUUCACAUUUCAAGUGACUACACUUAACCAUUUUCGAGUCACUUUAACCAUUUUCAAGUCGCUAGUACACAUUUCAAGUCACUACACUUAACCAUUUUCAAAUAACUAAUUCACAUUUCAAGUGACUACACUUAAUUAUUUUCAAGUCACUAGUACACAUUUCAAGUUACUACAUUCAAACCAUUUUCAAAUAGCUAAUUGACAUUUCAAGUCACUAUACUUAACCAUUUUCAAGUAACUAAUUCAUAUUUCAAGUAACUACACUUAAUUAUUUUCAAGUCACUACACUUAACCAUUUUCAAACAACUAAUUCAAUUGCAAGUCACUACAUUCAAACCAUUUUCAAAUAGCUAAUUGACAUUUCAAGUCACUAUACUCAAGUAACUAAUUCACAUUUUAAGUAACUACAUUUAACCAUUUUCAAAUAACUAAUUCAGUUGCAAGUCAGUACACUUAACAAUUUUCAAGUCUCUAAUUCACAUUUCAAGUCAACACUUAACCAUUUUUAAGUAAACAAUUCAUAUUUCAAGUGACUAAACUUAACCAUUUUUAAGUCACUGGUACACAUUUGAAGUCACUACAUUUAACCAUUUUCAAAUAACUAAUUCACGUUGCAAGUUACUAUACUUAAACAUUUUCAAGUCACUAGUAUACAUUUCAAAUUACUACACUUAACCAUUUUCAAUCAACUAAUUCACAUUUCAAGUCAUUAUAUUUAACAAUUUUCAAGUAACUACAUUUUAUCAUUUUCAAAUAACUAUGCUUAACCCUUUUCAAAUCACUAAUACACGUUUCAAGUAGUGUCACACAUAGAUGAUCUAAUGAUGGAUUGUACUCGAGUUUCUAUUUUAGCAUAAAAUGGUAUACUUUCACUAAUACACGUUUCAAGUAGUGUCACACAUAGAUGAUCUAAUGAUGGAUUGUACUCGAGUUUCUAUUUUAGCAUAAAAUGGUAUACUUUGCCUUUCAAAUGCAAUCCAGCUAGGUUAUUCACACACACAAAGAAAGUAGAACUUUGCCAUAGAAUACAAAAAGUGAACAAGAACUAUUUCGGCCCCAUCUACGUGGAUGGACCAUAUUUUAUACGAAUGAACAUUAAAGGAAAAGGCGAAAGGAAUAAAAUAUUGAGAUGAAGCAUCAUAUCACCACCUAGAAGAUCCUAUAUAACAAUCUUUUAUACUCAUCAAGUGUAGACAUAGCUUAUGAAUAAAAUAGUUCAUCAUUGAACACUUCCCGUCUCCUAAUCUCACUACUUUUAGUUCUCUCCUUUCCAACAGGCUAUAAAGAAAGGGAAACAUAGGUGAGAUCAAUAAAGACAUUUAGCUCCAAAGAAAAAUGAAAUUGCGUUCUUUCCAAGUCUCGCUAUCACGUUAUGCAUUCUAACAGUAACAAGCAGAGCUCAUGAAAUUUCCCAUAUGUCAAAAACAAACAGAGAUUUCCAUGUCUCUAAACAUCUUGUUGGUGCACCAAAAAGAAACAGUGAGUGUCGUUGCAGACAUAAGUGGCAAUAUCAAUAAGUUUGAGUUAGAAACCAACAAAUUUAUACCAGAUGUUGAUUCUGCCGUCUGGAAUCGCGACGACAACAGUUGUUGAUUCUGCCAGAUGGAAUCGCGGCCGGCGGAGCUGGUUCAUUUUCGCCGAUAAAACCUAGCGUUUGGCUUGGUUCACCGGCGACAGAGGAGAAGAGAAAGAGAUGAAGGGCGGCGGAGAGAGUUUUCCACCAGCCAGAGGUGGCCGGCGGUGGUGCGGUUGUUGAAGAUAGAGGAGAGAAAAAGGGUGGUGGGCGGCUGAUUGGAUUAUUCUAAAAAGAGAAAAAUGAAAUCUGAUUUGGGGGUUUGAUUUCUUUAGAAGGUAAAGAAAUGGGAGAUUUGAUCUUAAUCGUCGACUAUAUAAGAUCGAUGGUUAUGAUUAAAAUUAAAAUAUGUUAGUUAAUGAAUUGGGUUUAAAUUGACAUUAGUUUAGGCUAAAAUUGGCAUUAACUUAGUAUCAAAAUGCCUAAAAAUUAAAUAACUUGAAAAAUUGGAUUAAAUUUAGGUUGUUAUUUAAUAAAUAUAAUAAAUAACUUAAUAAUGGUACUGAGAAAAAUAUAAAAUUAUUAUUUUUAAAAAGAAAUAAAUUAUAUGUAUAAAAUUAAUGUUGUGUGAUAUAAAAUUGAUGGUAAUGAUUUGAAGCAAAUUAGGUGCAAAUUUUACGGAAUGAUAUUAUCAUAAUAAUAAUAAUAAUAA
rnacentral:lncRNA from 1 species